rnacentral:ribozyme from 16 species
AUCUUUGUUAUUUUUGUGUUUUUUUUUUCUUUUCUUCUCACGUUUGAGUUUCAUGCUUGUGCCGUCCAAAGAGCGGAAGAACUCCUAACUGCAAUGAAGGACAAGU